AAUUUGUAGAGGAUGCUUUUGGUGAGGUGCCUUCCGAGUUCCCUGGAACGGGACGCCAUAGAGGGUGAGAGCCCCGUCUGGUUGGACACCGAUCCUCUGUAAAGCUCCUUCAACGAGUCGAGUAGUUUGGGAAUGCUGCUCUAAAUGGGAGGUAUAUGUCUUCUAAAGCUAAAUAUUGGCCAGAGACCGAUAGCGCACAAGUAGAGUGAUCGAAAGAUGAAAAGCACUUUGAAAAGAGAGUUAAAAAGUACGUGAAAUUGUUGAAAGGGAAGCGCUCAUGACCAGACUUGGGCUUGGUUGAUCAUCCAGGGUUCUCCCUGGUGCACUCUUCCAGUUCAGGCCAGCAUCAGUUCGCUGCGGGGGAUAAAGGCUUUGGGAAUGUGGCUCCUUCGGGAGUGUUAUAGCCCAUUGUGUAAUACCCUGUGGUGGACUGAGGACCGCGCUUUUGCAAGGAUGCUGGCGUAAUG
rnacentral:rRNA from 1 species